GCAUUGAAACACCAGUUCUCAUAAGAUCACUAACAUUAAGCAAUGUUGCACCUGGUCAGUACCUAGAUGGGUGACCACUUGUGAAUACCAGAUGCU